rnacentral:lncRNA from 1 species
GAAGAGUACAUGUUGACCUGAUGGGACCUUACAAGGAGACACCCCGCGGCAACAGCUAUCUGAUCGUGGCUGUAGACUCAUGGUCUAAAUGGCCCGAGGCAGGACCCCUGCCGGAUAAGAAAGCUAGCACCACUGCAUCAUGGUUCUGGCAACAGUGGGUGACCCGCUAUGGAUCGCCAGAAAUGGUGAUGACGGAUCAAGGUCGAGAAUGGGAUGGCGAGUUUGCCCACCUGCUACGAGAGCAGAAAAUCGCACAUCGACACACCGCUGCCUACUCACCUCAGAGCAACGGGCAGGCAGAGCGCCUUGUCAGGGUACUGUUAACAAGCCUACGCAAAUGCAUCAACGACAAGGAAGACAACUGGGACAUUGAGGUCUAUCAAAUUCUCUAUGGUUGUAGAGCUACCCGACAAGAUAGCACGCGGUUGAGCCCGGCGCUAUGUGUGUUCGGCAAAGAACUUACAACGGCGGCUGAACGCAGCACCGCCCUGAAUCCCACACUACCGUCUGAGGACCCUGGCGGAGGUUAGCCCCGGCCAGGUGGCCAGGUUUCUGAAGGGGGGGGACGCUACAGCUGUAGCGACUUCCAGCUGGUCAUAGAGAACUGAGUUUGACGGCUUUGGUUGCGUAUUGUUCCGGGCAUAGCAGGAGGCCGAAUAUUGCCAUAUCGUUAAUUAAAAACUAUAAACGCGUUGAGAAUGGUCAUGUACAUACGGCGCACCGCGUAAAGACUGGCGAUGAAAAGCAGGCGAUUUGUGUCUGACGAUCUAGCUCCGGUCUGAGAAAUGUUCUAUGAAAAAUAUCCUGUACUAGUUUCUUCUCAGUUUCCUUUGGCCGCCAUGAACCUGGCCAGGAGCUGCGUAAACGGGUAGCUACCGUUGCGUAAUUGUAGCUUAGAUGCGGCAGGAGCAAAGCGAGUAUAGCCUCUAAGCUAGGUUAUGUACGGCAGCCGUAUGGCUUGCUGAGAAUUCGAAUUUACUAUUUCAGCUGACAGCUCCAUAGUUCCGGCAUUCUGCCUACACUAUUGGAGCUUAUUAUUAUUGUUGCUCUCACUUUUUUCCAAGACCUUACCGACUACCCUCAAGCCUCAUCGACG